rnacentral:rRNA from 1 species
GAUGAACGCUGGCGGCGUGCCUAAUACAUGCAAUUCGAGCGUACAUACGAGGCGCUUGCUCCUCUGACGUUAGCGGCGGACGGGUUAGUAACACGUGGCUAACCUACCUAUAAGACUGGGAUAACUUCGGGACACCGGAGCUAAUACCGGAUAAUAUAUUUAACCGCAUGUUUCAAUAGUGAAAGACGGUUUUGCUGUCACUUCUAGAUGGAUCCGCGCCGCAUUAGCUAGUUGGUAAGGUAACGGCUUACCAAGGCAACGAUGCGUAGCCGACCUGAGAGGGUGAUCGGCCACACUGGAACUGAGACACGGUCCAGACUCCUACGGGAGGCAGCAGUAGGGAAUCUUCCGCAAUGGGCGAAAGCCUGACGGAGCAACGCCGCGUGAGUGAUGAAGGUCUUCGGAUCGUAAAACUCUGUUAUUAGGGAAGAACAAAUGUGUAAGUAACUAUGCACGUCUUGACGGUACCUAAUCAGAAAGCCACGGCUAACUACGUG